UAGGGGAUCUUCCACAAUGGGCGCAAGCCUGAUGGAGCAACACCGCGUGAGUGAAGAAGGGUUUCGGCUCGUAAAGCUCUGUUGUUAAAGAAGAACACGUAUGAGAGUAACUGUUCAUACGUUGACGGUAUUUAACCAGAAAGUCACGGCUAACUACGUGCCAG
rnacentral:rRNA from 1 species